rnacentral:tRNA from 2 species
AGUCCUGUGGUGAAUGUUCAUGUUGAAUUGCAAAUUCAAAGAAGCAGCUUAGACGCUGCCGGGGCUU